UGGCGGACCGAGAGGGCAGAGCCGUGGCAGUGACGAAGACGAUGGGUAACGAGAUGAUGCUAGCUCCCUUCACUCUGAGCAGUUAUUAGAAGUGGAGGAAGUUUCUCCCCCUCCUUACCCAGACACUCGAGAAGAAAGGGACCAAGUCUAUUUGGAGGAGACAGGCGGACCUGAGCCUUAUUGUUUUGAGCUUGUGAGUUGCCUGAAACUACCAGAACCGACCCAACAGAACCAGCUCUGAAUGGUGAUCCUCUGGUGUCUGCAGCUGGUCUCCUCUGCUGGUGUCGUCAGGAUCAGGAGCUUCCAGAAGAAUGUGCCUUUCAAUGACUCUUCCCCCCUUAUUUGUUAUAUUAAUUAAAUAAAUCUCACUUUAUAUA